CGGAGGGUGCGAGCGUUGUCCGGAAUCACUGGGCGUAAAGGGCGCGUAGGCGGCGCGAGCAGUCGAUCGUGAAAGUCCGGAGCUCAACUCCGGAUCGGCGGUCGAUACUCUCGUGCUUGAGCACUGUAGAGGCAGAUGGAAUUCCGGGUGUAGCGGUGGAAUGCGUAGAGAUCCGGAAGAACACCCGUGGCGAAGGCGGCUUUCUGGGACGGUACUGACGCUGAGACGCGAAAGCGUGGGGAGCGAACAGG
rnacentral:rRNA from 1 species